rnacentral:rRNA from 1 species
GACGAACGCUGGCGGCGUGCUUAACACAUGCAAGUCGAACGGAAAGGCCCUGCUUUUGUGGGGUGCUCGAGUGGCGAACGGGUGAGUAACACGUGAGUAACCUGCCCUUGACUUUGGGAUAACUUCAGGAAACUGGGGCUAAUACCGGAUAGGAGCUCCUGCUGCAUGGUGGGGGUUGGAAAGUUUCGGCGGUUGGGGAUGGACUCGCGGCUUAUCAGCUUGUUGGUGGGGUAGUGGCUUACCAAGGCUUUGACGGGUAGCCGGCCUGAGAGGGUGACCGGCCACAUUGGGACUGGGAUGAGGCACGGAGUGCUACGGGGGGCAGCAGUGGGGAUGAGUGCACGAGGGGCGGAAGGCUGAUGCAGGAACGCCGGGUGCGGGAGGAGGGCCUUCGAGGUGGAAACCGCAGUCGCCGGGGACGGAGCGGGCGUGACGGGAAUGGGUAAAGAAGCACAGGCUAACUACGUG